AACGUAGGAGGCAAGCGUUAUCCGGAGUUACUGGGCGUAAAGCGUGCGUAGGCGGAUGGGUAAGUGGGUCGUGAAAGCGCCGGGCUAAACCGGGCGAGGACGAUACAGACUGCUCGUCUAGAGGCGGAUAGAGGGGGAUGGAAUUCCGCGUGUAGCAGUGAAAUGCGUAGAUAUGCGGAGGAACACCGGUGGCGAAGGCGGCAUCCUGGACCGACACUGACGCUGAGGAGCGAAAGCCAGGGGAGCAAACGGG
rnacentral:rRNA from 1 species